GGCGCGCCCUUUGCCAGGCGCAGGGCUGGGAGGGCGUGAGCCCUGCGCAUGCGUGCCGCGCGGUCAGCUCUGUCGGCUGAGGGUCCGCGCCCGUGGAGGAGGGGUCCUUGCGGGGCAGGGUCGUUUACCCACCGGAGCGAGGCUUUCUCUGGCUUGGGAGCCUGACCGCUCCGAGGUCGCUCCCGAAGCGCUAGCGGUUGCGGCUUUGCCGCCAGCACUUUGGCAGCUGUGGCUCCGGGAGCGCUCGCCGCUUCGUGGCGGGGCCCAGGCGCCAUUGGCCUCGCGUAGGUGUGGGUUUGAAGAGCCUUCGCUCCGUCCACACUGAAGGUGCUGGAAGAGGACCACCAACAAGGAGUGGCGACCCGACCGGCCUUUUCCUUUGUAACGAAGUGCACAGCUUGCGAGCAUUUUGCCGAGAACCUUGGUGUAGGCCAGGGUCCCAGUGUGGGGCAUCGUGCCCGCCCUCCCCGUGUCCUGCGGUGAUCCCCAAGCCCAGCAGGGACCUGAGCCUGAAGACCCUCAAACGUGACCUGCUUCAGCCUUAGAUGAGAAAGAUCCAAAAUGGAGCCAGGGAUCAAGCCUGAACUGUGGGCACCUGCUUGUUCCGAUUCAUCCUAGGGAGUCUCUCCUUUCCAUCUUGAGGCUUUUACUCCUUUCUCAGCCAGCAAGAUGCUGGCUGUGGGCUUAGCCGCUUCUGGAGACAGACUUUCAGGAGAAGAGUAAGGAAGAGCCAUUAAUGGCCUUUCACCCCGUGUCUUCUUUGAUAAUGAGAGCAACUAAGAACAAAGCAGGGAGGAAGAGCAGGAAGAAAAGAUUAACAUUAAACAGAUACAUGAGGUGGGAGGGAAAGGGAGAGAAAAGGGAAAUUGCAUGGUAAUGGAGGGAGAUCCUCAUUGUUAUACAAAAUUACAUAUAAGAGGUUGUGAGGGGAAUGGGAAAAUAAACAAGGAGAGAAAUGAAUUACAGUAGAUGGGGUAGAG
rnacentral:lncRNA from 1 species